rnacentral:tRNA from 1 species
AGGGUUGUAUUUCAACUGGUAGAAUAAUGGUCUCCAAAACCAUAGAUUUAGGUUCAAAUCCUAACAAUCCUG